rnacentral:misc_RNA from 1 species
UACGGAGGGUGCAAGCGUUAUCCGGAAUCAUUGGGUUUAAAGGGUCCGCAGGCGGAACAAUAAGUCAGUGGUGAAAUCUCUCGGCUCAACCGAGAAAUUGCCAUUGAUACUGUUGUUCUUGAAUUCGGUCGAAGUGGGCGGAAUGUGACAUGUAGCGGUGAAAUGCUUAGAUAUGUCACAGAACACCGAUAGCGAAGGCAGCUCACUAGGCCUGGAUUGACGCUCAGGGACGAAAGCGUGGGGAGCAAACAGG